UUAAGGUUGAAAACAUAAUUGCUCUGGUUCCCCUGAAGUCUCGAGGUUCAGAGCGAGCAGUGACAGGAGGAUUGUUUUGGGGGGAAACCCCACCACAUUGGAAAGUCUCAUUGACCUAACAAGUUCACAGCUCUCAAACCGCAAAAAUGGUUUUAGCUGAUCUGGGGAGGAAGAUAACCUCAGCUUUGAGGUCCCUCAGCAAUGCCACAAUCAUCAAUGAGGAGGUAUUAAAUGCUAUGCUCAAGGAGGUCUGUGCUGCUCUACUGGAGGCUGAUGUGAAUAUCAAGUUGGUAAAGCAGCUUAGAGAAAAUGUCAAGGCAGCCAUUGAUCUGGAGGAAAUGCUUCUGGCCUAAACAAG